AACGAACGCUGGCGGCAGGCUUAACACAUGCAAGUCGAACGCCCCGCAAGGGGAGUGGCAGACGGGUGAGUAACGCGUGGGAAUCUACCCAAUUCUUCGGAACAACUGAGGGAAACUUCAGCUAAUACCGGAUGUGCCCUUCGGGGGAAAGAUUUAUCGGAAUUGGAUGAGCCCGCGUUGGAUUAGCUAGUUGGUGGGGU
rnacentral:rRNA from 1 species